rnacentral:rRNA from 1 species
AUCGAACGCUGGCGGCAUGCCUUACACAUGCAAGUCGAACGGUAACAGGUCUUCGGAUGCUGACGAGUGGCGAACGGGUGAGUAAUACAUCGGAACGUGCCCGAUCGUGGGGGAUAACGAAGCGAAAGCUUUGCUAAUACCGCAUAAGAUCUACGGAUGAAAGCAGGGGACCGCAAGGCCUUGUGCGAACGGAGCGGCCGAUGGCAGAUUAGGUAGUUGGUGGGAUAAAAGCUUACCAAGCCGACGAUCUGUAGCUGGUCUGAGAGGACGACCAGCCACACUGGGACUGAGACACGGCCCAGACUCCUACGGGAGGCAGCAGUGGGGAAUUUUGGACAAUGGGCGAAAGCCUGAUCCAGCCAUGCCGCGUGCAGGAUGAAGGCCUUCGGGUUGUAAACUGCUCUUGUACGGAACGAAAAGACUCUUUCUAAUAAAGAGGGUCCAUGACGGUACCGUAAGAAUAAGCACCGGCUAACUACGUGCCAGCCGCCGCUGUAAUAC